rnacentral:rRNA from 1 species
AGCGGCAGGCUUAAUACAUGCAAGUCGUGGGGCAGCAGGUCCCGAGCAAUCGGGAUGCUGGCGACCGGCAAACGGGUGCGGAACACGUACACAACCUUCCUUUAAGUGGGGAAUAGCCCGGGGAAACCCGGAUUAAUACCCCGUAAUAUAAUGAAGUGGCAUCACUUUAUUAUUAUAGCUCCGGCGCUUGAAGAUGGGUGUGCGACUGAUUAGGCAGUUGGCGGGGUAACGGCCCACCAAACCUACGAUCAGUAACUGGUGUGAGAGCACGACCAGUCACACGGGCACUGAGACACGGGCCCGACUCCUACGGGAGGCAGCAGUAAGGAAUAUUGGUCAAUGGACGCAAGUCUGAACCAGCCAUGCCGCGUGGAGGAUGAAGGUCCUCUGGAUUGUAAACUUCUUUUAUCUGGGAAGAAAUCCAUGAAUUCUUUUGUGGUUGACGGUACCAGAUGAAUAAGCACCGGCUAACUCCGUGCCAGCAGCCGCGGUAAUACGGA